CGGGAAGAGCUCAAAUUUAUAAUCUGGCGCUUUCAGCGUCCGAGUUGUAAUCUCUAGAAGUGUUUUCCGCGUUGGACCGCACAUAAGUCUGUUGGAAUACAGCGGCACAGUGGUGAGACCCCCGUUCACGGUGCGGAUGCCCAAUGCUUUGUGAUACACUUUCGAAGAGUCGAGUUGUUUGGGAAUGCAGCUCAAAUUGGGUGGUAAAUUCCAUCUAAAGCUAAAUAUUGGCGAGAGACCGAUAGCGAACAAGUACCGUGAGGGAAAGAUGAAAAGCACUUUGGAAAGAGAGUUAACAGUACGUGAAAUUGUUGGAAGGGAAACGCUUGAAGUCAGACUUGCUAUUCGGGGCUUGCUCCGAGUUGCAGGCCAGCAUCAGUUUUUCGGGGCGGAAAAUCACGGAUUGAAGGUAGCAGUUUCGGCUGUGUUAUAGCUUUCCGUUGGAUACGUCCUGGGGGACUGAGGAACGCAGUGUGCUUUUAGCGAGGGCUUCGGCUCUUUCACACUUAGGAUGCUGGUGGAAUGGCUUUAAACGACCCGUCUU
rnacentral:misc_RNA from 1 species